AAAAAAAGAAACUGACCAAAUCCUUGAUUAUUCCUUUCAUUUCUUCCUGUAGGCUAAAUUGUAUUUCCCAUGGGAUUUUCUAAGGGUCCUUGAUUAUCAGAUGUCAGAUUGUGAUUGAUAGGCCGGAUCUCAGAGAACCUGGAACAGGAUAGGUCUCUGAAAAGAUCAGUCUCCAGCAGAUUUUCCUGAGUAGAAUUAAAACACCUUGAGUUAGUACUUCAAUGAUCAUGGCAGCCCCCUUCAAGCAGUUAGAGAAAUGAGAAAUGAUCAGGACUCAGAAUAUCAUUCUGGUUUCCAGAAUCCCAGAUUGUUAUUUUCCUGAUACGUUGGAGAUGUUCUUGUGGGUACAGAAAAAAUGUCCAGAGAACCUACAUUAGGGAACCAAAGAAUGAAGCGGGGUGCAGAGUCCCAGAGAAGGAAGUUUUGGGGAAGGUGUAGAUAGGGCACUUGCCAAUCAUGUUAUAAGAGGAGAGGUAUUCAGAGGCACGGUCAGGGGGAUUCUGACUUGUUCAGGGGCCACCUUCAAGGGGAUGGGGCUUGGAAGAGAGGGGAUGGCCCAGAACUCAUUUCUUUUGCAAUCCAUUGCCUAAAACUCACUGUCAGGUGACACAGAGAUGACUCUUUCUUUGCAACAUGUGCUUGGCAACCUCCGGGACCCAUCGCGCCCUGUUCCCAGUCUCCACCUCUCAGUACCAGCUCCCUGACAGGAGUUCCCUCUGGCCCAUAGAGCAGAUAGUCAGAUCUCUGUGGGAUAUCUGGCUGCCUGAAUGUCCAUGGAUCACACGCUUGUUCUGUUCAGAAGAAAUCAGUCUCAGCCAAACAGGAAGACAAGUGUUU
rnacentral:lncRNA from 1 species